CAGACACGGGCUCCCCCCUGCCCUCGUCUAGGAGCUCAGCCUUCCCGUCCUUCCACAGCCAAACCGGCCUCCGUCCGGGCCCUGCUGUUUGACAUCUCUUUCCUCAUGCUGUGCCAUGUGGCCCAGACCUAUGGUUCAGAGGUGAUUCUGUCCGAGUCGCGCACAGGAGCUGAGGUGCCCUUCUUCGAGACCUGGAUGCAGACCUGCAUGCCUGAGGAGGGCAAGAUCCUGAACCCUGACCACCCCUGCUUCCGCCCCGACUCCACCAAAGUGGAGUCCCUGGUGGCCCUGCUCAACAACUCCUCGGAGAUGAAGCUAGUGCAGAUGAAGUGGCAUGAGGCCUGUCUCAGCAUCUCAGCCGCCAUCUUGGAAAUCCUCAAUGCCUGGGAGAAUGGGGUCCUGGCCUUCGAGUCCAUCCAGAAAAUCACUGAUAACAUCAAAGGGAAGGUAUGCAGUCUGGCGGUGUGUGCUGUGGCUUGGCUUGUGGCCCACGUCCGGAUGCUGGGGCUGGAUGAGCGUGAGAAGUCGCUGCAGAUGAUCCGCCAGCUGGCAGGGCCACUGUUUAGUGAGAACA
rnacentral:sRNA from 1 species